rnacentral:tRNA from 1 species
GGGACACGGCCGCUGGGGCGGCGGUAAUCCUUGCAAGAUUGCGUCAGGAGGGUUCGAUUCCCUCGUGUUCCACCA